GACGAACGCUGGCGGCGUGCUUAACACAUGCAAGUCGAACGGUGAAGCCCAGCUUGCUGGGUGGAUCAGUGGCGAACGGGUGAGUAACACGUGAGCAACCUGCCCUCCACUUCGGGAUAAGCCUUGGAAACGGGGUCUAAUACCGGAUAUGAGUGCCUGCUGCAUGGUGGGUGCUGGAAAGUUUUUCGGUGGGGGAUGGGCUCGCGGCCUAUCAGCUUGUUGGUGGGGUAAUGGCCUACCAAGGCGUCGACGGGUAGCCGGCCUGAGAGGGCGACCGGCCACACUGGGACUGAGACACGGCCCAGACUCCUACGGGAGGCAGCAGUGGGGAAUAUUGCACAAUGGGCGAAAGCCUGAUGCAGCGACGCCGCGUGAGGGAUGACGGCCUUCGGGUUGUAAACCUCUUUCAGCAGGGAAGAAGCGCAAGUGAC
rnacentral:rRNA from 1 species